rnacentral:tRNA from 1 species
UGGGAUGUAGCUCAGCUGUAGAGCACUUAGCUUGGUGUGUGCCAGGCAGGCCCUGGGUUUGAUCCCUAGCAUCUCAA